rnacentral:rRNA from 2 species
AGAGUUUGAUCCUGGCUCAGGACGAACGCUGGCGGCGUGCUUAACACAUGCAAGUCGAACGGAAAGGCCUAGCUUGCUAGGUACUCGAGUGGCGAACGGGUGAGUAACACGUGGGUGAUCUGCCUCGUACUUCGGGAUAAGCCUGGGAAACUGGGUCUAAUACUGGAUAGGACCAUGCUUUAGUGUGUGUGGUGGAAAGUUUUUUCGGUACGAGAUGAGCCCGCGGCCUAUCAGCUUGUUGGUGGGGUAAUGGCCUACCAAGGCGUCGACGGGUAGCCGGCCUGAGAGGGUGGACGGCCACAUUGGGACUGAGAUACGGCCCAGACUCCUACUGGAGGCAGCAGUGGGGAAUAUUGCACAAUGGGCGCAAGCCUGAUGCAGCGACGCCGCGUGGGGGAUGACGGCCUUCGGGUUGUAAACCUCUUUCGCUAGGGACGAAGCUUUUGUGACGGUACCUAGAUAAGAAGCACCGGCUAACUACGUGCCAGCAGCCGCGGUAAUACGUAGGGUGCGAGCGUUGUCCGGAAUUACUGGGCGUAAAGAGCUCGUAGGUGGUUUGUCGCGUCGUCUGUGAAAUUCCGGGGCUUAACUUCGGGCGUGCAGGCGAUACGGGCAUAACUUGAGUGCUGUAGGGGAGACUGGAAUUCCUGGUGUAGCGGUGGAAUGCGCAGAUAUCAGGAGGAACACCGAUGGCGAAGGCAGGUCUCUGGGCAGUAACUGACGCUGAGGAGCGAAAGCAUGGGGAGCGAACAGGAUUAGAUACCCUGGUAGUCCAUGCCGUAAACGGUGGGCGCUAGGUGUGAGGGUCUUCCACGACUUUCGUGCCGUAGCUAACGCAUUAAGCGCCCCGCCUGGGGAGUACGGCCGCAAGGCUAAAACUCAAAGGAAUUGACGGGGGCCCGCACAAGCGGCGGAGCAUGUGGAUUAAUUCGAUGCAACGCGAAGAACCUUACCUGGGCUUGACAUAUGCAGGAUCGGCGUAGUGAUACGUUUUCCCUUGUGGUCUGUAUACAGGUGGUGCAUGGUUGUCGUCAGCUCGUGUCGUGAGAUGUUGGGUUAAGUCCCGCAACGAGCGCAACCCUUGUCUUAUGUUGCCAGCACGUGAUGGUGGGGACUCAUGAGAGACUGCCGGGGUUAACUCGGAGGAAGGUGGGGAUGACGUCAAAUCAUCAUGCCCCUUAUGUCCAGGGCUUCACACAUGCUACAAUGGUCGGUACAACGCGCUGCGAGCCUGUGAGGGUGAGCGAAUCGCUGAAAGCCGGCCUCAGUUCGGAUUGGGGUCUGCAACUCGACCCCAUGAAGUCGGAGUCGCUAGUAAUCGCAGAUCAGCAACGCUGCGGUGAAUACGUUCCCGGGCCUUGUACACACCGCCCGUCACGUCAUGAAAGUUGGUAACACCCGAAGCCAGUGGCCUAACCCUUGUGGGGGGAGCUGUCGAAGGUGGGAUCGGCGAUUGGGACGAAGUCGUAACAAGGUAGCCGUACCGGAAGGUGCGGCUG